rnacentral:rRNA from 1 species
GACGAACGCUGGCGGCGUGCUUAACACAUGCAAGUCGAACGGAAAGGCCCUGCUUUUGUGGGGUGCUCGAGUGGCGAACGGGUGAGUAACACGUGAGUAACCUGCCCUUGACUUUGGGAUAACUUCAGGAAACUGGGGCUAAUACCGGAUAGGAGCUCCUGCUGCAUGGUGGGGGUUGGAAAGUUUCGGCGGUUGGGGAUGGACUCGCGGCUUAUCAGCUUGUUGGUGGGGUAGUGGCUUACCAAGGCUUUGACGGGUAGCCGGCCUGAGAGGGUGACCGGCCACAUUGGGACUGAGAUAGGGCCCAGACGCCUACGGGAGGCAGCAGUGGGGAAUAUUGCACAAUGGGCGGAAGCCUGAUGCAGCAACGCCGCGUGCGGGAUGACGGCCUUCGGGUUGUAAACCGCUUUCGCCUGUGACGAAGCGUGAGUGACGGUAAUGGGUAAAGAAGCACCGGCUAACUACGUG